CCUAGGCGGCUGCAGUGGGGAAUAUUGGACAAUGGGCGAAAGCCUGAUCCAGCCAUGCCGCGUGUGUGAAGAAGGCCUUCGGGUUGUAAAGCACUUUCAGUGGGGAAGAAAGCCUUGGGGCUAAUACCCUCGAGGAAGGACAUCACCCACAGAAGAAGCACCGGCUAACUCCGUGCCAGCAGCCGCGGUAAUACGGAGGGUGCGAGCGUUAAUCGGAAUUACUGGGCGUAAAGCGCGCGUAGGCGGUCUGAUAAGCCGGUUGUGAAAGCCCCGGGCUCAACCUGGGAACGGCAUCCUGAACUGUCAGGCUAGAGUGCAGGAGAGGAAGGUAGAAUUCCCGGUGUAGCGGUGAAAUGCGUAGAGAUCGGGAGGAAUACCAGUGGCGAAGGCGGCCUUCUGGACUGACACUGACGCUGAGGUGCGAAAGCGUGGGUAGCAAACAGGAUUAGAUACCCGGGUAGUC
rnacentral:rRNA from 1 species